rnacentral:pre_miRNA from 1 species
AAACGGUGUCGGAGAAGAAGACAGGGGAAAAGAAGACGUUCUUUUCCGAAGACGUUCUUUUCCCCUGUCUUUCUUCUCCGACACCGUUU